rnacentral:lncRNA from 1 species
UAGUUGAACUUUAUUGUGCUCUAGAAAAAGCAAUAAACCCUUCUGCAAACUUCAUAAGAUAGCACAGUAAAAGGAACUCUACACCAAGAGGACAUUUUCCCUUCAAAAUAACAAAGCAGAACACAAAGUAAAUCAAAGCAUAUAAACGGAGAAAGGAAUUCCGUUGCCUUUGAAAUUGAACUCCAGAAAUAAUUUACUUAAAAAGAGUUCCUCAGAUAUAGCUUGAAGUCUAAAGACAAUCAUUGAUCAUCAACUGGUAUUCUCUUACUCCAUCAGCACUCCAGAUACAAAGCAAGAGAAAACCCAGAGUAAAAAAUUUAAAUGGACAAUAUUUCAUCUGCAACCUGGAAAGUCUUCUAUGCUUGCUGUUGUAUUGACUUUCCUACUUAUCUCAGAAAAUUGUGCAUUUAAUCAUCUCUCUCUAUUUUCUUUGACUCUUUUCCAGUGAGAGAGUAUAAGAUUGUUUACCUAAAGACCUCGAAGUCUAGCAAGAUAGGAAGCAAGUUGUUACUUAAGCAGGUUGGGGGGGCAUUAUGGGCACAAUGAAAAUUAAUCAUUGGUUCUCUUUGCCUAUCAAAAUACAUCGUUCACAUAGGACCCCUUUCCCCAAUAAAUUUAGAUCAUGCCUACUCUAGAAAAGGAAUCACAGCAUUGUCACUUCUUGAUGUUGUGAAGUAAUUUGUAAUGCGCAGAAAUGAUUUGAAUACAUGUCCCAACAGAGCUUUGUGAAGGAAACUCAAAGCUAUUCUGACAUAAUAGCAAAUGAUAGCAGAGAAGGGACUGAAGCACUGCAGCAAACCCAAAAUUGUUCCAAUAUUCAGCUGCUAGAACAAAAAAGAAAAGCCUCACUACUGAACCUUUUUCAUUUCGUAUAGCUGCUCAAAAUUUAGAAAACUCAUAGACCAUAAUCCAUUAAAACAGCAUCUAUUACAUCAAGUUCUAAUUGCUAAACUUGCUGGUAAAUCCUUGGGGUAAAGAGAUUGGAACUCUUCCAUUUUCAAUAAAGAUUAUUUGUAAAACUAAAAAAAAAUCCAUGAGACAAUCUGAUAGAUGUCUCAUUAUUCCUGAUCUGUGUUCUUUUUUAUUUCUUAGCCCUACCUCUACAACCGAUUAAAAUGCUUAGCCUAAAUACUUUCACCAUUUCAAAGAAACCACUACAAAAAGUGCUAUUUUUUGGCCGGGCGUGGUGGCUCACGCCUGUAAUCCCAGCACUUUGGGAGGCCAGGCGGGCGGAUCACGAGAUCAGGAGAUCGAGACCAUCCUAGCUAACACGGU